UCUAAACCUUUCUUGCGAUGCUAGUGAGCGUUUUCGAUGGAUACGGCUACAAUAUCUCAAUUUGUUGUCAUCACAGAUGAAUGAGUGAUGUAAUUCAUACSAUAAUACACGGAAAUCGACGAUUUUCAAUUGUUUCGGUACCGGUUUUUACCCUUCUGCGCAUUAAGAAUCCAUUUCAACUUAAAUUUUGAGGCUAAUUGAAAAAUUUGUCGUCCAUUCCCAUUUAAAUCAAACAAAACAAAACCCGUCCCACUUUUUUUUUUUUUUUGUUUCUUUUUUAUUUUUUAAUUGACAUAUAGAAAAUGGUUACGCAAAAUGAGUUAUAUACAAAUAGUGUGCAAAUG
rnacentral:rRNA from 1 species